GAAAAAAGACAGAGAAUUGGGAUUUUUUUUUUUCUUCAUAGGGUUUUGGAAAGACUAAGGCAAUCGUUGCUGAAGUCAGUAUUGUACUGGUGAAUUGGGGUUUUAAUGAAGUGGAUGUGAUUACUCUUGACUGUUUUGUGAAAUCAAAGUUACGUCUAUGAUUGAAGAAUUAAAAGGGUGUCUAUAGGAUUGAGUAUGCGGAGUGAAUGAAAAUUAUUGGAUUAAUCUAAUAAGACAAUCAGUGGAUACAAG
rnacentral:lncRNA from 1 species